CCUCUUGUUUGGGGUCCCCAAGAGGAGCAGCUUCCAGCUCAGAGGUCAAAGGUCUUUAAGGAAAGGGCCUGCUGUCAGCCAUGCUCCCAGGGUGACAAGAGCCCGAGAAAGCAGCUGUGGCUCCCUCUAGACCUGAAAGCCAGGGGAGGACAGGACGUUAGAAUUCUCCGAAGCGGAGGACCGUGGAUCAGCUCCGUCUCUGGGAAGAGCUGCAGCCCUGGAGGGACUCAGCCACUGCCGGAACCCACAGCCCAAAGCCGGAAGAGAAAGCACAGUCACGACUCUGUCCUCUUCUUCAACCCUCGGCAGGGCCGUCCUUGGGUCGACUGGGAGCCAGAAGCCUGGAGAUCGCCUACUCGUGGAAAGAUCGCUGAGUGGCCGAUUCAGCCUCCAGGUGGACGAGUUGGAGCAGCAGGAAGCUCUCUGGGCUGGGGUCAGAAUCUGACAGUCUGCAUGGUAUUUAAAGCCAUGGGAACAAACAGGGUUACCUGAGAGGGGAUGAACAGAGCUGGGGAAGAUCCCUGGGGACUGAACCUAGGGACACCCCAACACCUAGAGCGAGAGGAAGAGACGCAAAGAGAGAGAGAGCAGCAGAAGCCAGCAAGAGCAGGGAGUGGAAAAGGAGAAACAGAGAUGAGAGAUGCCCUGGGGUGGGGGUAGGGGAUGAGGUCGUUGGAUAACUAGGACAGGGGGCCCCUGGCGUUGACGUCACAGGCUCAUUGAUAAACCUGUCGAGAACAGUUCCUCCAGAGUGGUGGUGAAGUCCGAUUGGAUUUGAUUGAAGACGUAUAGAUAGGCCUCGGGGACAAGCCUUGCCAGAUACUUUCCAAGAGGGGACUUAGAAAAGGAGGGCAUGGCUGGAGCAAGAUCAAGGGAGCUGCUUUGUUCCGUUUGAGAUGGGACAUCUGGAAGUGUGGCUGCUGGCGAGACGGAGCCGGGGGAGAGGGCUUGUUGCAUGUGUGCGGGCGCAGAGAGCUGGAAGGCGGAUGCUGUGAGAAGAGUUCAGGACCCAUGUUUUCCACUCCAUCUGGGAGGAUGGUGGAGAGGGGAGCGCACGUCUAGGCAGGCUCGGGGAUCAGGUGGAGGGGACGGAGAGCCUGAAUUUCCUCCAUGAAGAAUGCAACCAGGUUGUCAGCCCGGGGUGGGUGGCAGGGAACUUAUGCCAGGUCUCUGGGGCAGGAGAAGGCCUGGUGUCCCUCUGAGAUGGACCUGGGCCUCACCAGGGACGGGGUGAAGUGCCCGCUGAGUUGCAGUGCGCCCUGGAGCCCUGCCCAGCCUGGGAAAUCCAUGCAGCCCAGCUGAAGGUUUGGCGCUGCAGAGAGCAGGUUAAUUUUCAGGUGUCCGAUCUCGACACUGUUCCCGGAGUUAUUUAUGUCUGAACUGAUGAAAAUUCCCUCCCUCCACUUCGGGCCCAUAAAAAAAAAAAAGUGUUAGGGAAGUGGCCAAAACACCAGCCGGGGCUGCUGGGGCGCGCGGAUUACCGCUGUCACAA
rnacentral:lncRNA from 1 species